rnacentral:rRNA from 1 species
UACGAAGGGGGCUAGCGUUGCUCGGAAUUACUGGGCGUAAAGCGCACGUAGGCGGAUUGUUAAGUCGGGGGUGAAAUCCUGGAGCUCAACUCCAGAACUGCCUUCGAUACUGAAGAUCUCGAGUCCGGGAGAGGUGAGUGGAACUGCGAGUGUAGAGGUGAAAUUCGUAGAUAUUCGCAAGAACACCAGUGGCGAAGGCGGCUCACUGGACCGGUACUGACGCUGAGGUGCGAAAGCGUGGGGAGCAAACAGG